CGGGUGAGUAACGCGUUGGUGACCUUGCCCCGGAGAGGGGGAUAACAGCUUGAAAGGGCUGCUAAUACCCCAUGAUGUCUAGAGGGUUAGAAACCUUUAGACGAAAGGCUUCGGUUGCUUCGGGAGGGGCCUGCGUCCCAUCAGCUAGUUGGUAGGGUAAUGGCCUACCAAGGCGAAGACGGGUAGGGGACCUGAGAGGGUGACCCCCCACAAUGGAACUGAAACACGGUCCAUACACCUACGGGUGGCAGCAGUAGGGAAUAUUGCACAAUGGGCGAAAGCCUGAUGCAGCAACGCCGCGUGCGCGAAGAAGGCCUUCGGGUUGUAAAGCGCUUUUCGGGGAGAAGAGAAAGGACGGUAUCCCCGGAAUAAGGAUCGGCUAACUACGUCGCAGCAGCCGCGGUAAAACGUAGGAUCCGAGCGUUAUCCGAAUUCACUGGGCGUAAAGCGCGUGUAGGCGGUUCGGUAAGUUGGAUGUGAAAGCUCCCGGCUC
rnacentral:rRNA from 1 species